GAUAUAAUCCCUCCGCCCCAAAUUACUUGUCGCAGAAAUGGAUGUAUCUAGAACUAAAAAUACGUCUAGAUACAUCCAUUUGGGCGACAAGUAAUUUGGGACGGAGGGAAUACUUG
rfam:Triticum aestivum genome assembly, contig: Triticum_aestivum_CS42_TGACv1_scaffold_576806_7BL